GACGAACGCUAGCGGCGUGCUUAACACAUGCAAGUCGAACGAUGAAGCCUAGCUUGCUAGGUGGAUUAGUGGCGAACGGGUGAGUAAUACGUGAGUAACCUACCUUUAACUCUGGGAUAAGCCUGGGAAACUGGGUCUAACACCGGAUACGACCAAUCUCCGCAUGGGGUGUUGGUGGAAAGCGUUAUGUAGUGGUUAUAGAUGGGCUCACGGCCUAUCAGCUUGUUGGUGAGGUAACGGCUCACCAAGGCGACGACGGGUAGCCGGCCUGAGAGGGUGACCGGCCACACUGGGACUGAGACACGGCCCAGACUCCUACGGGAGGCAGCAGUGGGGAAUAUUGCACAAUGGGCGCAAGCCUGAUGCAGCGACGCCGCGUGAGGGAUGACGGCCUUCGGGUUGUAAACCUCUGUUAGCAGGGAAGAAGAGAGAUUGACGGUACCUGCAGAGAAAGCGCCGGCUAACUACGUGCCAGCAGCCGCGGUAAUACGUAGGGCGCGAGCGUUGUCCGGAAUUAUUGGGCGUAAAGAGCUUGUAGGCGGUUUGUCGCGUCUGCUGUGAAAGGCCGGAGCUUAACUCCGUGUAUUGCAGUGGGUACGGGCAGACUAGAGUGCAGUAGGGGAGACUGGAAUUCCUGGUGUAGCGGUGGAAUGCGCAGAUAUCAGGAGGAACACCGAUGGCGAAGGCAGGUCUCUGGGCUGUAACUGACGCUGAGAAGCGAAAGCAUGGGGAGCGAACAGGAUUAGAUACCCUGGUAGUCCAUGCCGUAAACGUUGGGCACUAGGUGUGGGGAACAUUCCACGUUUUCCGCGCCGUAGCUAACGCAUUAAGUGCCCCGCCUGGGGAGUACGGCCGCAAGGCUAAAACUCAGAGAAAUUGACGGGGGCCCGCACAAGCGGCGGAGCAUGCGGAUUAAUUCGAUGCAACGCGAAGAACCUUACCAAGGCUUGACAUAUACUGGACCGCAUCAGAGAUGGUGUUUCCCUUCGGGGCUGGUAUACAGGUGGUGCAUGGUUGUCGUCAGCUCGUGUCGUGAGAUGUUGGGUUAAGUCCCGCAACGAGCGCAACCCUCGUUCUAUGUUGCCAGCACGUUUAUGGUGGGGACUCAUAGGAGACUGCCGGGGUCAACUCGGAGGAAGGUGGGGAUGACGUCAAAUCAUCCUGCCCCUUAUGUCUUGCGCUUCUCUCAUUGCUACAGGGGCCGGUACAGAGGGUUGCGAUACUGUGAGGUGGAGCUAAUCCCCAAAUAGCCGGUCUCACUCCGGAAUGGGGUU
rnacentral:rRNA from 1 species